rnacentral:lncRNA from 1 species
UUCAUCAAGAAGCAAGGAUGGUUCUUCCACUGUACCAGAAACAAGUUCGGAUGCUGAAAGUCAGAUGCCUCCAGAAGCAGAAAAGAAAGAAGAGAAGAACUUGGUAAAUUUCUCAGCAGUGUUUCUGUCUCAAACAAUCAAAAGAAACCUAAUGAAUCUAAAUUCACAAAAAAAAAAAGAGACAAGACAAAUCAAAACAAAGUUUAGCUCUUAUGUAUAAGAGAGACAAGACAAAUCAAAACAAAGUUUAGCGAAACCUAAUGAAUCUAAAUUCACAAAAAAAAAAAGAGACAAGACAAAUCAAAACAAAGUUUAGCUCUUAUGUAUAAGACAAAUCGAAACAAUGUUUAGCUCUUAUGCCUGGGCCUAACAUGUGCAGUAAUUGUCAGAUGUUCUACAUCAUUCGAACAUGCGCAUAUGAUAUAUUUGUUUAUUUUUUUACCCCAAUCAUGUUAUUACUUCAAAACACCCAAGGAGAGAAUGCAGCCAGCUUAAAGAUAGUCGUGUAACAACCCAUAUUGUUAAGGGAAAUAUUUCUUUUAUCAGUAGCCAAUACUCGGUUGUCUUCUUAUUUUUGAUGAUGCUUUUCUUAGGUUUUCUUAUUGCAAUCUUUGGAAUUUCUCGGUGAUGCUAAGCUGCAUUAUAUUUCUGAGAUCAUUGAAUUCGGGUUUUAAAAUUAAAUUUCUGGUUACUCCAUCUGUGUUGUUGAAUAUAAAGAAAAGUAGUAAGGAAGAGGAGAAAGAUGAAAAGUUUUUCUAUACAGUAUUUUUACAAUUAUAAUUAAUCUUUUUCCUGUGAUCUUUAGAAUGUUAAUAGAGAAUCUUGAUGUCACUUUUAUCUUAGAAGGAUAAUGUAUUGUGAACUUGCUGUUAUUUUGGAAGAAGUCAGAAAAGUUUUUGUCUUAUCAUUUUUGGGACAAUUGUUUUUUAGAAUCAGGAACUCUCCUAGGAGUUUCUCAUUCAUAUUUUCCUCUGCAAACCUAGAAUUAGCAAAACUUUGUCAUUUUGUUGUCUUUGGUGUUUGCAUUGCGUGCUACUACAGGAG